rnacentral:rRNA from 1 species
GAAAUGCGGCCAGCCUGGACUGAGGUCCGCGCUUUGGCUAGGAUGCUGGCGUAAUGGUUGUAAGCGGCCCGUCUUGAAACACGGACCAAGGAGUCUAACAUCUGUGCGAGUGUUUGGGUGUUAAACCCGUACGCGUAAUGAAAGUGAACGGAGGCGGGAACCCCCCGGGGUGCACCGUCGACCGAUCCUGAUGUCUUCGGAUGGAUUUGAGUAAGAGCAUAGCUGUUGGGACCCGAAAGAUGGUGAACUAUGCCUGAAUAGGGUGAAGCCAGAGGAAACUCUGGUGGAGGCUCGCAGCGGUUCUGACGUGCAAAUCGAUCGUCAAAUUUGGGCAUAGGGGCGAAAGACUAAUCGAACUAUCUAGUAGCUGGUUCCUGCCGAAGUUUCCCUCAGGAUAGCAGUAACGUUUUCAGUUUUAUGAGGUAAAGCGAAUGAUUAGAGGCCUGGGGGUUGAAACAACCUUCACCUAUUCUCAAACUUUAAAUAUGUAAGAAGUCCUUGUUGCUCAGUUGAACGUGGACAUUUGAAUGUAUCGUUACUAGUGGGCCAUUUUUGGUAAGCAGAACUGGCGAUGCGGGAUGAACCGAACGCGGAGUUAAGGUGCCGGAAUGCACGCUCAUCAGACACCACAAAAGGUGUUGGUUCAUCU